CUUCAACUUGCAAAACAGUAAAUGCUAAAUUGUGGUCAGUAUUAAUGGAUGCGAUGCGACCAUGAUUAACAUUAAAUGUAGGAGUGGACAGUGUAAACCUAUCAGUAAAAUGGAGCCACUAUCACUUAGUGACUGACAAUACUUUUUUAGCUCCAUUAUGAACAGGAGGAAGGAAAUGAGCCCUAAGUUUGAUAUAAUACACUAGCAGGGUUAUUCAAUGAAUACAGAAUUGUAAAGAAUUAACAAGAGAUUUUCACAUUAUGGGCUGAAGAAAUUGCUGAGCUGGGGAAAUGUAUAUAUUAACAUGUACCGACUUAAAAUUAGAAUUUCCAUGGUGAGUUCCU